UACGAAGGGGGCUAGCGUUGCUCGGAAUCACUGGGCGUAAAGGGUGCGUAGGCGGGUCUUUAAGUCAGGGGUGAAAUCCUGGAGCUCAACUCCAGAACUGCCUUCGAUACUGGAAAGCUCGAGUCCGGGAGAGGUGAGUGGAACUGCGAGUGUAGAGGUGAAAUUCGUAGAUAUUCGCAAGAACACCAGUGGCGAAGGCGGCUCACUGGCCCGGUACUGACGCCGAGGUGCGAAAGCGUGGGGAGCAAACAGG
rnacentral:rRNA from 1 species